AUGAACCUUAUCAUGUAGAUUAGUUUUUUUAGAAUGUUUUGUUUGUAAUAUUCAGAUUUGAAGUGUUUGGUUAUGUUUUUAUAUAUAAUAUCGACCAAAUUAAAGUGUCAACGUAUAAGAAAACUUAUAAACAUACCAAAACUUAAAAAUUUCGAAAUUCAAAACUCGAGCGUUGGUAAUAAGUAGCUACUUGGUUGCAAAGUGCGACUGUGUUCUGUUGUCGUCGCAAAAACGUUGCACCUAGGGACUGUUUUGUGACAUUUUUGAAACAUUUUACAAAUAAAAAUGCUCUUUAGUCCCUAUUCGGUCGCACAAUAUUUACUCGAGAAACACUUAAUAAAUUUAACAAAAUUUUAAAACGUUGCACAAUCGUCGCAAUUUAGUCACAAAACAGUUACACAAACGUUGCAACGUGCGACUGUGUUCUGCAGUCGUCGCAAAAAAGUUGCACAAAGCGACUGUUUUGUGACAUUUUGGAAUAGGUCACAAGACAAAGUUUUGAAAUCCACAUAGUUCGAUCCAUUCUAUAGAUAAACAUUACUGAAAAACAACCAUUUUAGUACAUAAAGAACUUUAGGUAUAGAAAUGAUUGGUUUCAAACUUAUUUGAGAACUUGUUUGAAAAGAUCAAUCAUGAAAAUGAAUUCACAUGAACCUUAUCAUGUAGAUUAGGUUUUUUUGAAUGUUUGGUUUGUAAAAUUCAGAUUUGAAGUGUUUGGUUAUGUUUUUAUAUAUAAUAUCGACCAAAUUAAAGUGUCAACGUAUAAGAAAAAAUAUAAACAUACCAGAACUUAAAAAUUUCGAAAUUUAAAACUCGAGCGUUGGUAAUAAGUAGCUAAUUGGUUGCAAAGUGCGACUGUGUUCUGUUGUCGUCGCAAAAACGUUGCACCUAGCGACUGUUUUGUGACAUUUUUGAAAUAUUUUACAAAUAAAAAUGCUCGUUAGUCCCUAUUCGUUCGCACAAUAUUUACUCGAGAAACACUUAAUAAAUUUAACAAAAUUUUAAAACGUUGCACAAUCGUCGCAAUUUAGUCACAAAACAGUUACACAAACGUUGCAACGUGCGACUGUGUUCUGCUGUCGUCGCAAAAAAGUUGCACAAAGCGACUGUUUUGUGACAUUUUGGAAUAGGUCACAAGACAAACUUUUGAAAUCCACAUAGUUCGAUCCAUUCUAUAGAUAAACAUUACUGAAAAACAACCAUUUUAGUACAUAAAGAACUUUAGGUAUACAAAUGAUUGGUUUCAAACUUAUUUGAGAACUUGUUUGAAAAGAUCAAUCAUGAAAAUGAAUUCACAUGAACCUUAUCAUGUAGAUUAGGUUUUUUUGAAUGUUUGGUUUGUAAUAUUCAGAUUUGAAGUGUUUGGUGAUGUUUUUAUAUAUAAUAUCGACCAAAUUAAAGUGUCAACGUAUAAGAAAACAUAUAAACAUACAAGAACUUAAAAAUUUCGAAAUUUAAAACUCGAGCGUUGGUAAUAAGUAGCUAAUUGGUUGCAAAGUGCGACUGUGUUCUGUGGUCGUCGCAAAAACGUUGCACCUAGCGACUGUUUUGUGACAUUUUUGAAAUAUUUUACAAAUAAAAAUGCUCGUUAGUCCCUAUUCGGUCGCACAAUAUUUACUCGAGAAACACUUAAUAAAUUUAACAAAAUUUUAAAACGUUGCACAAUCGUCGCAAUUUAGUCACAAAACAGUUACACAAACGUUGCAACGUGCGACUGUGUUCUGCUGUCGUCGUAAAAAAGUUGCACAAAGCGACUGUUUUGUGACAUUUUGGAAUAGGUCACAAGACAAACUUUUGAAAUCCACAUAGUUCGAUCCAUUCUAUAGAUAAACAUUACUGAAAAACAUCCAUUUUAGUACAUAAAGAACUUUAGGUAUAGAAAUGAUUGGUUUCAAACUUAUUUGAGAACUUGUUUGAAAAGAUCAAUCAUGAAAAUGAAUUCACAUGAACCUUAUCAUGUAGAUUAGGUUUUUUUGAAUAUUUGGUUUGUAAUAUUCAGAUUUGAAGUGUUUGGUUAUGUUUUUAUAUAUAAUAUCGACCAAAUUAAAGUGUCAACGUAUAAGAAAACAUAUAAACAUACCAAAACUUAAAAAUUUCGAAAUUCAAAACUCGAGCGUUGGUAAUAAGUAGCUAAUUGGUUGCAAAGUGCGACUGUGUUCUGUUGUCGUCGUAAAAACGUUGCACCUAGCGACUGUUUUGUGACAUUUUUGAAACAUUUUACAAAUAAAAAUUCUCGUUAGUCCCUAUUCGGUUGCACAAUAUUUACUCGAGAAACACUUAAUAAAUUUAACAAAAUUUUAAAACGUUGCACAAUCGUCGCAAUUUAGUCACAAAACAGUUACACAAACGUUGCAACGUGCGACUGUGUUCUGCUGUCGUCGCAAAAAAGUUGCACAAAGCGACUGUUUUGUUAUAUUUUGGAAUAGGUCACAAGACAAACUUUUGAAAACCACAUAGUUUGAUCCAUUCUAUAGAUAAACAUUACUGAAAAACAACCAUUUUAGUACAUAAAGAACUUUAGGUAUACAAAUGAUUUGUUUCAAACUUAUUUGAGAACUUGUUUGAAAAGAUCAAUCAUGAAAAUAAAUUCACAUGCACCUUAUUAUGUAGAUUAGGUUUUUUUGAAUGUUUGGUUUGUAAUAUUCAGAUUUGAAGUGUUUGGUUAUGUUUUUAUAUAUAAUAUCGACCAAAUUAAAGUGUCAACGUAUAAGAAAACAUAUAAAUAUACCAGAACUUAAAAAUUUCGAAAUUCAAAACUCGAGCGUUGGUAAUAAGUAGCUAAUUGGUUGAAAAGUGCGACUGUGUUCUGUUGUCGUCGCAAAAACGUUGCACCUAGCGACUGUUUUGUGACAUUUUUGAAACAGUUUACAAAUAAAGAUGCUCGUUAGUCCCUAUUCGGUCGCACAAUAUAUACUCGAGAAACACUUAAUAAAUUUAACAAAAUUUUAAAACGUUGCACAAUCGUCGCAAUUUAGUCACAAAACAGUUACACAAACUUUGCAACGUGCGACUGUGUUCUGCUGUCGUCGCAAAAAAGUUGCACAAAGCGACUGUUUUGUGACAUUUUGGAAUAGGUCACAAGACAAACUUUUGAAAUCCACAUAGUUUGAUCCAUUCUAUACAUAAACAUUACUGAAAAACAACCAUUUUAGUACAUAAAGAACUUUAGGUAUAGAAAUGAUUGGUUUCAAACUUAUUUGAGAACUUGUUUGAAAAGAUCAAUCAUGAAAAUGAAUUCACAUGAACCUUAUCAUGUAGAUUAGUUUUUU
rnacentral:sRNA from 1 species